UGACAUCUUCUUGUUUUCUCCUUUUUUUGUGCAUCUCAGGCAAUGUAACUUGUGAGCGAUUCAGUGGCAGCAACGUCCUUGGCUGGGCACGUGUCUCUGGAUCAAUGCCCUGUGCUCCUUGACCUCUGGACCUGUGAAACUGCUCUCUUGGGAAAAAAAUGCCAGCUCACCAGCAUGCUUUGAAACCCAGAGGAAAGAUUCACUUUGGCACAGGUGAAGAUCGAGAUCACGUAUAAACAUCCACAGUUUGAUCUCAAGCUUCAGUGUAUAUCAACACCUACACAGAUGAAUGUAUGUGUUUGCAACUUCACCUCAAGCUGCUGAGGGACACAGUAAAACAAUAAUUUUAGGCAGAUGCCCAGAGGGAAUACGCCACAAGACUUGUUUGCUUCUGUUAGAAGCUUCCCCCACGUCCGACAGAGUCAAUUGCAGCUGGGCCCAAGAUGGACCCACUGCUGGCCAGUGCUGAGCCCAGCAGUGACGGUGGCAGCACCUCUGGGAUUAAAGAUUUAAGAAGGAGGGAAAAAACCUGUGCAACAGUAACUGCGUUCAGAGAGAUGAGUGAGAAGAAACAGCCCUGCAGACACCAGGGUCAGUGUAGAAGAAGGGGGAGGAAGUGCUUCAGGCACCAGAGCAGAGGUUCCCCUGCAGCCCAUCAUGCAGAUCACGGUGAGACAGGUUGUCCCACUGCAGCCCAUGGAGGUCCAUGGGGGAAUAGAGAUCCACCUGCAGAACGUGGAGCACCCCACACCGGAGAAGGUGAAUGCCAAAAGGAGGCUGUGAUCCCAUGAAAAGCCUGUGCUGGAGCAGGCUCCUAGUAGGACAGGAGCCCACACUGGAGCAGGUGUGCUGGCAGGACUUCUGAUGCUGCGGGGGACCUACGCUAGAGCAGCCUGUUCAUGAUGGACUGCACCCCAUGGAAGGGACCCGUGCUGGAGCAGUUUGAAAAGAACUGCAACCUGUGGGAAGGACUCAGGUUGGAGAAGUUUGUGGAGGACUGUUUCCUGUGGGAGGGAAGAGGGGAAGAGCAUGAGCUGUCCUCCCACUGAAAAGGAAGGAGCGGCAAAGACAACAUGUGAUGAACUGAUUGUAACUCCCAUUCUCCAUCCUUCUGCCCCACUGGCCAGGGGAGAUAGAGAAAAUCAGGACUGAAAUUGAGACCAGGA